GUGGAUAUAACUCAGUGGUAGAGUAUAUGCUUAGCAUGCACAAGAACCUGGGUUUGAUCCCCAGCACCAUG
rfam:Ictidomys tridecemlineatus contig069851, whole genome shotgun sequence.